rnacentral:siRNA from 1 species
CUUCAAUGGUCGAUCUCACGCGCU